CUCACAGCCAAACAGUCACUUCGGAAAAAUCGGUACCCCGACAACCACCCCCACCGCGUCCCUUCCCCCCCACCUCCACACCACACCGCGGACAGGCGAGGGGGAGGGGGGAGGCAGGAUCACUCAGAGCCGCCUUGUCUGCUGCUUAAAAGGAACCCAGCCCAGGCCCGGCCUCCAGCUGCUCAGCAGCCACCGGAGCAGCUCCCAGGCACCUCCUCAGCCGAGCGAGGAGCCAGCUAGGCCCCGCUGCGGCUUCCCGGGGAUGCAAAGCGAGGAGCGGGCUCCUCACGCCAACGGCAGGGUCACGUCCCCGCCCGGCCCCACACGCAGACACCCGGGGGGCAGGCGGGAAAGGGGGGGGGGCCCUCUGCGAAAGGCCCGGCGGGGACAGCCCCUCGGCCCACCCUCCCCAGGCCGCAAGUCACCCGGCCGCGGUACGGAGAGGAGGAAAGGGGGAAGGAAGCCGCAAAGCAGGGCAGGCUCUCCCUCUACGGCCACCCCGCAGAGAGAGAGAUAGCCUGAAAACUUGUAUAAUGGAAGAAUAACAGCAGUCCAGAGUAUUACAGUUAUCACAUUCUGCUCAUGCCUGAAUUAAGGUUCCCAUUCCUGUAGCAACAAUAGCUGAAUGGAUUGCACAUUUACUCCUCUGCCGCCAAGAUUUACACUGAAAGGUAAACUACCAGUGAUUUCAGCAGAUGCUAAGAGGAAAUGGGAGCUGUGGCAGCUGGAAAGCAAGUGAAUAAUUUCUGCUCUACAGAGGAUAGUGUCAAAAAGGUGAAUUCCAGCCAGUCCAGUUAUAUCUGUGACCUCUAGUCUGGAAUGAUGCUGGAAAUGGUUGGGAUCCAUUGCCUAAGAAAUCCUUAAUUUCACUAAAGGAAGUAAGUCUCUACCUGUAAAGUUACCUAUGAAACUUGGCUGAAGUGCAACUGUAAAUCAGUUUAAAUUUACACACUUAUGUUUCAGCACUUGACUUUCAUUGCUCUAUUAGCAUUUCAGAUGUUUUAACAAGGUUCAUGUCUUACUAGGCUUUGAUAUCACAGCACCCUGUGAAGACAAAUUCAGUUAGCUUAACUCACCCCCAAUGUUAGAGAACACACUCAAAACAAUUCAUAGCCCUGUCUAUUAGGCCAAAAACAUGUCAUGUAAGAAUAGAUAAUGCUCACUACACCACCAAGCUACGUUAAAACAGUUUGCUCCAAAAUCAGCUGCCUAACUGGCUGUUGAGCAUUUUAGUAGGAAAAUAGUCUGCAUUCUAAUAAACAUUAUUACCAGCUAUUAGGUGUGGUAAGAAUCACACUGUACAGCCAGGUAAACAGGGCAAGCUCUACUUUAGAGUGGUUUCAGACUUUAUCUUAGAGCCCAUUUCUCAAGUUGUAAUCUUGGUUAGUAAUUCAGUUGAAGUUUUUUGUUUGCGUACUUCUGUACCCAUAAAGGUCUGGUGGAGAUUGGACUGUACUAACUUGAGAUUCAGUGCUACUAGUCUAACCACUCCUUUUUCUAGAUGAGAGAGCCUGAGGAUUAUGCCUCCAAUCUCAACCUUAUUUUGGGAUAAUAUCCCUCACUGUGUGUUUCAAUCUUCAUUUUGGUUGUUUCAGUCUACAAAGUAUUGUCAGAUGACUGGUCAUCUCAUGCCUUUGAUUGGAAAGCAAGGCAACAGCUACAUCCUUGAGCAUGAGCAACAGCGCCAUCAGCAACUGAACCAUCUGACUAAUCAAAGAGAGAGAGCACAGACA